UACGUAGGGUGCGAGCGUUGUCCGGAAUUACUGGGCGUAAAGAGCUCGUAGGUGGUUUGUCGCGUUGUUCGUGAAAACCGGGGGCUUAACCCUCGGCGUGCGGGCGAUACGGGCAGACUUGAGUACUGCAGGGGAGACUGGAAUUCCUGGUGUAGCGGUGGAAUGCGCAGAUAUCAGGAGGAACACCGGUGGCGAAGGCGGGUCUCUGGGCUGACACUGACGCUCAGGCACGAAAGCGUGGGGAGCAAACAGG
rnacentral:rRNA from 1 species